rnacentral:rRNA from 1 species
AUUGAACGCUGGCGGCAGGCCUAACACAUGCAAGUCGAGCGGGGUUUUCGGACCUAGCGGCGGACGGGUGAGUAAUGCGUAGGAAGCUGCCCGAUAGAGGGGGAUACCAGUUGGAAACGAUUGUUAAUACUGCAUAAUGUCUACGGAACAAAGUGUGGGACCUCUGGGCCACAUGUUAUCGGAUGCGCCUCCGUGGGAGUAGCUAGUUGGUGAGGUAAUGGCUCACCAAGGCUACGAUCUAGAGCUGGUUUGAGAGGAUGAGCAGCCGCACUGGGACUGAUACACGGUCCAGUCUCCUACGUGAGGCAGCAGUGGGGAACAUUGGACGAUGGGCGCAAGCCUGAUCCAGCCGUGCCGCGGGUGUGAUGAAGGCCUUCGGGUUGUAAAGCACUUUCAGCGAGGAGGAAGGGGUGUGUGUUAAUAGUACACACCUUUGACAUUACUCACAGAAGAAGCACCGGCUAACUCUGUGCCAGCAGCCGCCGUAAAAC